AGUGAACGCUGGCGGUAGGCCUAACACAUGCAAGUCGAACGGCGGCACAGUAAGAGCUUGCUCUUACGGGUGGCGAGUGGCGGACGUGUGAGGAAUACAUCGGAAUCUACUUUUUCGUGGGGGAUAACGUAGGGAAACUUACGCUAAUACCGCAUACGACCUACGGGUGAAAGCAGGGGAUCUUCGGACCUUGCGCGAUUGAAUGAGCCGAUGUCGGAUUAGCUAGUUGGCGGGGUAAAGGCCCACCAAGGCGACGAUCCGUAGCUGGUCUGAGAGUAUGCUACGCCACACUGGAACUGAGACACGGUCCAGACUCCUACGGGAGGCAGCAGUGGGGAAUAUGGGACAAUGGGCGCAAGCCUGAUCCAGCCAUACCGCGUGGGUGAAGAAGGCCUUCGGGUUGUAAAGCCCUUUUGUUGGGAAAGAAAAGCAGCAGGUUAAUACCCCGCUGUUCUGACGGUACCCAAAGAAUAAGCACCGGCUAACUUCGUG
rnacentral:rRNA from 1 species